rnacentral:rRNA from 1 species
ACGAACGCUGGCGGCGUGCUUCACACAUGCAAGUCGAACGGAAAGGCCCUGCUUUUGUGGGGUGCUCGAGUGGCGAACGGGUGAGUAACACGUGAGUAACCUGCCCUUGACUUUGGGAUAACUUCAGGAAACUGGGGCUAAUACCGGAUAGGAGCUCCUGCUGCAUGGUGGGGGUUGGAAAGUUUCGGCGGUUGGGGAUGGACUCGCGGCUUAUCAGCUUGUUGGUGGGGUAGAGGCUUACCAAGGCUUUGACGGGUAGCCGGCCUGAGAGGGUGACCGGCCACAUUGGGACUGAGAUACGGCCCAGACUCCUACGGGAGGCAGCAGUGGGGAAUAUUGCACAAUGGGCGGAAGCCUGAUGCAGCAACGCCGCGUGCGGGAUGACGGCCUUCGGGUUGUAAACCGCUUUCGCCUGUGACGAAGCGUGAGUGACGGUAAUGGGUAAAGAAGCACCGGCUAACUACGUG